CUACCCUGGCCCCCCAAUGCAGUACUACCCUGACCCCGCCAUGCAGUGUUACCCUGCCCCCCCCCCCCAUGCAGCAUAUGUGUAAGUGAAUGGAAGUU